UACGUAGGCAGCGAGCGUUGUUCGGAGUUACUGGGCGUAAAGGGUGUGUAGGCGGUUGUUUAAGUUUGGUGUGAAAUCUCCCGGCUCAACUGGGAGGGUGCGCCGAAUACUGAGCGACUCGAGUGCGGGAGAGGAAAGUGGAAUUCCUGGUGUAGCGGUGAAAUGCGUAGAUAUCAGGAGGAACACCGGUGGUGUAGACGGCUUUCUGGACCGUAACUGACGCUGAGACACGAAAGCGUGGGUAGCAAACAGG
rnacentral:rRNA from 1 species